rnacentral:rRNA from 1 species
AUCAUGUUGAAACACCGGUUCCUGUACGAUUACCAAAGUUAAGCAACAUUGAGCCUGGUCAGUACUUGGAUGGGUGACCACUUUGGAAUACCAGAUUUUGCAA